rnacentral:tRNA from 1 species
AGUUAAUGAACUUGUUUAAGUUUGUACUUUGAAAGUACACCAAAGGAAUAACUAUCCUAUUAACUU